AUGAACGCUGGCGGCGUGCCUAAUACAUGCAAGUCGAGCGAACAGACGAGGAGCUUGCUCCUCUGACGUUAGCGGCGGACGGGUGAGUAACACGUGGAUAACCUACCUAUAAGACUGUGAUAACUUCGGGAAACCGGAGCUAAUACCGGAUAAUAUAUUGAACCGCAUGGUUCAAUAGUGAAAGACGGUUUUGCUGUCACUUAUAGAUGGAUCCGCGCCGCAUUAGCUAGUUGGUAAGGUAACGGCUUACCAAGGCGACGAUGCGUAGCCGACCUGAGAGGGUGAUCGGCCACACUGGAACUGAGACACGGUCCAGACUCCUACGGGAGGCAGCAGUAGGGAAUCUUCCGCAAUGGGCGAAAGCCUGACGGAGCAACGCCGCGUGAGUGAUGAAGGUCUUCGGAUCGUAAAACUCUGUUAUUAGGGAAGAACAAAUGUGUAAGUAACUAUGCACGUCUUGACGGUACCUAAUCAGAAAGCCACGGCUAACUACGUG
rnacentral:rRNA from 1 species